AUGAGAGUUGGGAUCGGAGGGAAGUCAAUUCCUGAUUUUUCUUCCCAACCUCCUUACCCAGACGCUGAAUCUUUUCCCGAAUCAUGGUCUGGUUCACCAGACACUCCACGUUUAGGCUCAUGGUUCGAGUCAAGAUAUCAUCGAGACCAUUCCGGGAUAGCCUGUCCCGAUCCUCCUGAAAGAAGAUGGUAGACCCCAGGACUUUGGCAAAAUCGGGGUUCUCCCUAACAGUCCGGUUAUUCUUCAAGGAGUCGAUCAGUAUUUGAGCGCCACGAGAAGAGGUCCUCCCAGAAGCUUGAGUAGGCCCCCUUUCUGUGCUUGGAACAAUUGGGAGAGGUGGAGGCUGCUCUUCCGUUCUAGGAGGAGAUCUGACAGCUUCAGUGGUCGGCGGACCCGAAGGUUGAGGCGGGUCUCUUUGUAUCUCCCCAGGUUCGUGACCGGGUGUUUGAAGUCGUUCCGAACGCUUCAUCUCCUUUAUCUUCCGGGAGAUCUCUCUUUCCUUCUUCCGCUUCCUAGAACCCUCACCACCCGCCAUACCUGCACAAAGAAAAGGUUAGUGAGAUCGCUAAGGUCGUGAGAACUGAGAUAUAGAAAGUACCAAUGCCGAGGUCAGAGAGCGAAAGUUCGCGGUCUUGGCCGGUGAGCAAUUGAAUAGUCCAAUGGUGCAGUUCGGCAGUC
rnacentral:misc_RNA from 1 species